rnacentral:lncRNA from 1 species
UCUCUAAACGGUUUGGAUCCUGUUUAUUUCCGGAGCGGCGGAAUCUCGGUCGAGUCGGGGGGCCGGACCAAGAUGGCGGCUUGAGCAGACGCUAGUUUGCGACCUGUUGCGCCAAACUUUUUAAAACUUCUUAAAUAUUGUGGGAACCGACAAAUUAAACGCUACUUUUGAAUUUCUUGCUGUUAUUGACCCAAAAGGACACAAAUUGAGCUGCUCAAUGCCAUCUCGAGAAAGAAAGAGAACCUCUAAGGAGAGUAAAGCCAUGGCUAGCAGCAGCAGUGCUGAUAGCGGUGCGGGACAUGACUAUACCCAGAAGGCUAACGCUGAACAAGACAUGAUCAUCCCAGAUGAAGAAGAGUUUCCACCCCUCCCUAUUUCUUCUGAGGGAACUCCAUGUAAAGAACCAGCUUCCAAGAAAGCGCUACUUGCAGGUGAGAGGAGAAGCAGCGGUUAUGAUAACGACAUCGUUGAGGUUCUUUCAAACCUGAUUAACACCCGCUUUGAUGCCAUGGAGAAACUGAUUAAUGACAACUCGCUGAAAAUCGAGGGCCUCAAGAAGUCAGUUGACUUCGCGUUUGAAGAAAUUAAAGAUGUAAAGAAAAGGAUUGACGUGAUCGAAAAAAAGACCAACAAAGAUGAAGCUACUGUUCUCCGGCUGCAGGAAAGGCUCGUGGAAUCUGAGCGCUACUCCAGGCGCUGGAAUUUGAAAUUAUACGGAGUGCCGGAAACCGUGUCCAGAGAAAACGUGAAAAAUGAAGCCAUCAAAAUCUGCCAAACUAUUUUCCCGGAGGGAAAACAGAAGCUUCCUGAUAUGAUUGACACUGUGCACCGCUUGGGAAGACUGACGAAAAACGCGAACAAACCGAGAGGAAUCAUUCUCCAGUUUUCAUCCAGAACCUACCGAGAUGCCGUGUGGAAAGCCGCGAAAAAUAAUCCCAUCCUGCAGGAGCGUCAUCUCCGCUUCACCGAGGACCUGUGCACGGCGGACCGGGAAAGCAGAGCAGCGCUGUGGCCUUUGAUCCAAGCCGCCAGGAGAGAGGGAAAAGUCGCCUACUACGUGGGGGGGCGUGCCUACAUCAACGGUAAAGAGGUCGGUCUUUCCGAGAGCUGAGACUGACAGAACUAACUGGGUUCCGAGCAGCUCUUUGAUUUACACACCUUGAGGAAAACAGAACUCGUAUUUUGAUCUCACAUGUUCUGCCAGUUAUUUCCUAAAAACCACGUUUAAAGUUAUUUUCCUUGUGGUAUAUGACAGCAUGUUUAUGUUCAUGUCAGAACUAGUUUGGCA